UACGAAGGGGGGCGAGCGUUGUUCGGAAUUACUGGGCGUAAAGGGCGUGUAGGCGGUUUGUUAAGUCUGGCGUGAAAGCUCUCGGCUAAACCGGGAGAGGUCGUUUGGAUACUGGCGAACUAGAGGAUGGUAGAGGCGUGUGGAAUUCCGGGUGUAGUGGUGAAAUGCGUAGAGAUCCGGAGGAACACCAGUGGCGAAGGCGACACGCUGGGGCCAU
rnacentral:rRNA from 1 species